CUGUGAUACAUGUUGUCAUUGAUGCAUCAAGAUUGGACCCUGACAGGGUGUCUGACCUGACUGAGAUCAACAGUGUUCUGUUACAAAUAAAAAAUAUAUAAAAGAAUAGCCACACUUUUGUGGGACUUCUAAUAAUCAAACACAGUUAAGAGCUGUGUCAUAUGGAAUCAAAAUGCAGGGGUGGUAGUAACAUGUAACAGUGUUCUUAGGCUAGAUGAGAGGGUGUACAAACAUACUGCCAAAGUGUCCUGUGACGUAUGAGCCAUAUGCUGUGGCAUUCCCUUUCUUGCUAUAGAUAUCUGUUGUGUUGUACUUCCUGCUACUCACUGCUUCAAUAUUGUAGGUUUUUUUGACCUGAAGAGAAAUCACAAAAAGGCUUGGGUCUCUUCUGAUUUAUGGCUUCAUCAACAGGAUGUUCUCACACAAUACCAAGUCUCUCAGGGAAUGCCAGAAUCCCCAAGAAGCUCCUUAAUGAGAUGCAGUGUAGAGGAUACAAAACAUAUUGCUGAUUUGGGGAGUCCUGCAGUACACAGAUGA
rnacentral:lncRNA from 1 species